UACGGAGGGAGCUAGCGUUGUUCGGAUAUACUGGGCGUAAAGCGCACGUAGGCGGCGCAGCAAGUCAGGGGGUGAAAUCCCGGAGCUCAACUCCGGAACUGCCUUUGAAACUGCAGUGCUAGAAUCCUGGAGAGGCGAGUGGAAUUCCGAGUGUAGAGGUGAAAUUCGUAGAUAUUCGGAAGAACACCAGUGGCGAAGGCGACUUACUGGACACAUAUUGACGCUGAGGUGCGAAAGCGUGGGGAGCAAACAGG
rnacentral:rRNA from 1 species